CAUACAAAUACAUAUGCAAAACAUUGUUCUGCAUAGAGAGAGAGAGAGAAAAACCACUCAACAAAUCCUUCUGUGUUUACUUCUGGGCUGUGAUCUAUUACCUAAAUUUGGUGUUUCUAUACAUACAUUGUUCCAAUCUCUCUCUCUCUCUUUUCACUGGCGCCGGCACCGCCGGUGGUGGUGACACACUGCUUAUAAAAUGCUUCCAUGGCCAUGAACUCACUGCAAUCACUUACUCUCUCUCUUCUAAUCACUCUUUGUUCUCUCUCUCUAACCUCUCAUUGCUUGCUUCUCCUAAUUAGUCCCUCAACAUCCUCCACCACCCCCAUCCGGGGUUUAAUGUAUGAAGAGAAAACAAGGCUGGGAUCAACACCACCAAGCUGCCACAACAAGUGCAACCUGUGCCACCCAUGCAUGGCGGUGCAAGUGCCCACAAUGCCGGGUCACAACCGAGUGAAACCGGGUCAAGACCGAGUCAAGCCGGUGGAUUACUAUGAUCAACCACCAUCAGGUGGCAGUAACAACAGGUACUCAAAUUAUAAACCGCUUGGUUGGAAAUGCAGAUGUGGGGGGCACUUGUAUAAUCCUUAGUUCCUUGUUUAAUUACCAAAAUAAUUUUUAUUUUAAGUUUAGUUGAGUGGAAAGUACAUAUUUAUUUGUAAUGCAUUUAAUUUAUGUGAGAGAUUUUUGUUUGGAGUUU